UUGGUCCAAUGUACUGAUGUCGUGAUUCCUGAGCAGUGCUUAACUGGUAGCGGAGGGCCUGGAAUUUACUUGCAUUAAAUUGCAUCUUGUUAUCCUCAGCCCGUGUAUAGAUGGCAUCUAGAUCUUUCUGCAAGAGCAUAAAUAGACACAC